GGGUUGUGAGGUUAAGCGACUAAGCGUACACGGUGGAUGCCCUGGCAGUCAGAGGCGAUGAAGGACGUGCUAAUCUGCGAUAAGCGUCGGUAAGGUGAUAUGAACCGUUAUAACCGGCGAUUUCCGAAUGGGGAAACCCAGUGUGAUUCGUCACACUAUCAUUAACUGAAUCCAUAGGUUAAUGAGGCGAACCGGGGGGAACUGAAACAUCUAAGUACCCCGAGGAAAAGAAAUCAACCGAGAUUCCCCCAGUAGCGGCGAGCGAACGGGGAGCAGCCCAGAGCCUGAAUCAGUGUGUGUGUUAGUGGAAGCGUCUGGAAAGGCGCGCGAUACAGGGUGACAGCCCCGUACACAAAAAUGCACAUGCUGUGAGCUCGAUGAGUAGGGCGGGACACGUGGUAUCCUGUCUGAAUAUGGGGGGGGACCAUCCUCCAAGGCUAAAUACUCCUGACUGACCGAUAGUGAACCAGUACCGUGAGGGAAAGGCGAAAAGAACCCCGGCGAGGGGAGUGAAAAAGAACCUGAAACCGUGUACGUACAAGCAGUGGGGAGCACGCUUAGGCGUGUGACUGCGUACCUUUUGUAUAAUGGGUCAGCGACUUAUAUUCUGUAGCAAGGUUAACCGAAUAGGGGAGCCGAAGGGAAACCGAGUCUUAACUGGGCGUUAAGUUGCAGGGUAUAGACCCGAAACCCGGUGAUCUCAGCCAUGGGCAGGUUGAAGGUUGGGUAACACUAACUGGAGGACCGAACCGACUAAUGUUGAAAAAAUUAGCGGAUGACUUGUGGCUGGGGGGUGAAAGGCCAAUCAAACCGGGAGAUAGCUGGUUCUCCCCGAAAGCUAUUUAGGUAGCGCCUCGUGAAUUCAUCUCCGGGGGGUAGAGCACUGUUUCGGCAAGGGGGUCAUCCCGACUUACCAACCCGAUGCAAACUGCGAAUACCGGAGAAUGUUAUCACGGGAGACACACGGCGGGUGCUAACGUCCGUCGUGAAGAGGGAAACAACCCAGACCGCCAGCUAAGGUCCCAAAGUCAUGGUUAAGUGGGAAACGAUGUGGGAAGGCCCAGACAGCCAGGAUGUUGGCUUAGAAGCAGCCAUCAUUUAAAGAAAGCGUAAUAGCUCACUGGUCGAGUCGGCCUGCGCGGAAGAUGUAACGGGGGCUAAACCAUGCACCGAAGCUGCGGCAGCGACGCUGAUGCGUUGUUGGGUAGGGGGAGCGUUCUGUAAGCCUGCGAAGGUGUGCUGUGAGGCAUGCUGGAGGUAUCAGAAGUGCGAAUGCUGACAUAAGUAACGAUAAAGCGGGUGAAAAGCCCGCUCGCCGGAAGACCAAGGGUUCCUGUCCAACGUUAAUCGGGGCAGGGUGAGUCGACCCCUAAGGCGAGGCCGAAAGGCGUAGUCGAUGGGAAACAGGUUAAUAUUCCUGUACUUGGUGUUACUGCGAAGGGGGGGACGGAGAAGGCUAUGUUGGCCGGGCGACGGUUGUCCCGGUUUAAGCGUGUAGGCUGGUUUUCCGGGCAAAUCCGGAAAAUCAAGGCUGAGGCGUGAUGACGAGGCACUACGGUGCUGAAGCAACAAAUGCCCUGCUUCCGGGAAAAGCCUCUAAGCAUCAGGUAACAUCAAAUCGUACCCCCAAACCGACACAGGUGGUCAGGUAGAGAAUACCAAGGCGCUUGAGAGAACUCGGGUGAAGGAACUAGGCAAAAUGGUGCCGUAACUUCGGGAGAAGGCACGCUGAUAUGUAGGUGAAGUCCCUCGCGGAUGGAGCUGAAAUCAGUCGAAGAUACCAGCUGGCUGCAACUGUUUAUUAAAAACACAGCACUGUGCAAACACGAAAGUGGACGUAUACGGUGUGACGCCUGCCCGGUGCCGGAAGGUUAAUUGAUGGGGUCAGCGCAAGCGAAGCUCUUGAUCGAAGCCCCGGUAAACGGCGGCCGUAACUAUAACGGUCCUAAGGUAGCGAAAUUCCUUGUCGGGUAAGUUCCGACCUGCACGAAUGGCGUAAUGAUGGCCGGGCUGUCUCCACCCGAGACUCAGUGAAAUUGAACUCGCUGUGAAGAUGCAGUGUACCCGCGGCAAGACGGAAAGACCCCGUGAACCUUUACUAUAGCUUGACACUGAACAUUGAGCCUUGAUGUGUAGGAUAGGUGGGAGGCUUUGAAGUGUGGACGCCAGUCUGCAUGGAGCCGACCUUGAAAUACCACCCUUUAAUGUUUGAUGUUCUAACGUUGACCCGUAAUCCGGGUUGCGGACAGUGUCUGGUGGGUAGUUUGACUGGGGCGGUCUCCUCCUAAAGAGUAACGGAGGAGCACGAAGGUUGGCUAAUCCUGGUCGGACAUCAGGAGGUUAGUGCAAUGGCAUAAGCCAGCUUGACUGCGAGCGUGACGGCGCGAGCAGGUGCGAAAGCAGGUCAUAGUGAUCCGGUGGUUCUGAAUGGAAGGGCCAUCGCUCAACGGAUAAAAGGUACUCCGGGGAUAACAGGCUGAUACCGCCCAAGAGUUCAUAUCGACGGCGGUGUUUGGCACCUCGAUGUCGGCUCAUCACAUCCUGGGGCUGAAGUAGGUCCCAAGGGUAUGGCUGUUCGCCAUUUAAAGUGGUACGCGAGCUGGGUUUAGAACGUCGUGAGACAGUUCGGUCCCUAUCUGCCGUGGGCGCUGGAGAACUGAGGGGGGGCUGCUCCUAGUACGAGAGGACCGGAGUGGACGCAUCACUGGUGUUCGGGUUGUCAUGCCAAUGGCACUGCCCGGUAGCUAAAUGCGGAAGAGAUAAGUGCUGAAAGCAUCUAAGCACGAAACUUGCCCCGAGAUGAGUUCUCCCUGACUCCUUGAGAGUCCUGAAGGAACGUUGAAGACGACGACGUUGAUAGGCCGGGUGUGUAAGCGCAGCGAUGCGUUGAAGCUAACCGGUACUAAUGAACCGUGAGGCUUAACCUUACAACGCCGAAGGUGUUU
rnacentral:rRNA from 1 species